AUUGAACGCUGGCGGCAUGCCUUACACAUGCAAGUCGAACGGCAGCACGGGUGCUUGCACCUGGUGGCGAGUGGCGAACGGGUGAGUAAUACAUCGGAACGUACCUUAUCGUGGGGGAUAACGCAGCGAAAGCUGUGCUAAUACCGCAUACGCCCUGUGGGGGAAAGCGGGGGAUCGCAAGACCUCGCGCGAUUAGAGCGGCCGAUGCCUGAUUAGCUAGUUGGUGGGGUAAAAGCCCACCAAGGCGACGAUCAGUAGCUGAUCUGAGAGGACGAUCAGCCACACUGGGACUGAGACACGGCCCAGACUCCUACGGGAGGCAGCAGUGGGGAAUUUUGGACAAUGGGGGCAACCCUGAUCCAGCAAUGCCGCGUGAGUGAAGAAGGCCUUCGGGUUGUAAAGCCCUUUUGUCAGGGAAGAAACACCGGCUCUAACACAGUCCGGGAAUGACGGUACCUGAAGAAUAAGCACCGGCUAACUACGUGCCAGCCGCCGCGGUAA
rnacentral:rRNA from 1 species